rnacentral:lncRNA from 1 species
CUUAAAAAACCUUGAAAAUACAGUAUCGUUAAUACUAUUUUGAUUUGAUAUUCACUCACUUUUAAGAUUUUAAAAUCGUAUGCAUGAAAAAAGAAAAAAAAAAAAAAUCAACAAACACCAGAGGUAAGUGAAGUGGUAGUAAUACUGCAAUAGUCAAAUUAAAAAACUAGGAUUAUGAUUUUUCUCUCUCGUAAAUUUAAGACUGCCUGCUCAAUAUAAUGUAGCAUUCUAAUUACGCAAUGGUAAACACAAAUAUGAAUUAAAACAAGUCCUACAUAGGCCUCCUUAUAAAGUGAAUAACAACAUAGAAGUUUAGUACUGAAAAAAAC